rnacentral:rRNA from 1 species
UACGUAGGGGGCGAGCGUUGUCCGGAAUCAUUGGGCGUAAAGAGCUACGUAGGCGGUUCAGUAAGUCGGCUGUGAAAUUCCGAGGCUCAACCUCGGAACUGCAGUCGAUACUAUUGUGACUAGAGUCCGGUAGAGGAGAAUGGAAUUCCCGGUGUAGCGGUGAAAUGCGCAGAUAUCAGGAAGAACACCCGUGGCGAAAGCGGCUCUCUGGAAACGGUACUGACGCUGAGACGCGAAAGCGUGGGGAGCGAACAGGAUUAAGAA